UUAGUUGCCAGCAUUCAGUUGGGCACUCUAAGGUGACUGCCGGCUAAAAGUCGGAGGAAGGUGGGGGAUGACGUCAAAUCAUCAUGCCCCUUAUGACCUGGGCUACACACGUGCUACAAUGGGCGGUACAAAGGGUCGCGAACCCGCAGGGGGAGCCAAUCCCAAAAAGCCGCUCUCAGUUCGGAUUGCAGGCUGCAACUCGCCUGCAUGAAGCCGGAAUCGCUAGUAAUCGCGGAUCAGCAUGCCGCGGUGAAUACGUUCCCGGGCCUU
rnacentral:rRNA from 1 species